UGCAGAUCAUGUAGGACAAGUGCA
rnacentral:siRNA from 1 species